AAAACAAGUAUGGGGGAGAUCCCUCAACAUGCCAAACACACUCCGACUACACCACUCCACGAUUCAGGUACACACUCUGCACACUUUACUUUACACAUAUUUUGGAUUAUGCAGAUUACUGUUUCCGACAUGAUAAAUUAAAAAGAUUAAAAUAUUUCUAAUCAUGAUUAAUCUCAAUCUGUGAUAUUUCCUAAAAACUUGCAAUUAUUAUAAAAUCAUUUUAAAACCCUGUGUUACUUAAGUCAAAUGGAAUAUGUGAUGAUAGAGUAUAAGUUUCUUAUUCUUGAUAUCAUUGUUGCUUGGAGAAUUUAUUUCAAAAUAUUCAAAUUUCUAGCUACCAUCCUCAGUGUUUUAUAUGCCUGAUAAAACUGAAAUAUUAAUUAUGAUUAUAAAAGCUAUCUGCUCUGUAUUGAGUUUGUUCAAAAUAAGUUAGACCCUUGUUGAGAGAUUUAUCAUGCUCCCAAGAUCAAGACAUUAUUUCAGAAAGAUUCACUCUUCCGAAGUAUUAUUGCAUUAGAGGCAUGGGCUAUGCAAAAAUAGAAGAUAUUUCGAGGAAAUAAAAAGGAGCAAGUGCUCGACAACCUCGCAGAAAAAUUGGACAAGUGUCCGGCAGUAGAAUUAGGGGUACCUCGGUAUCCACUUAAAAAAAAGAGAGAAAAAAUGAUAGCCCAUGGUCCCACUAAUAAGCAAUAUGCCAGCAAGAGUUGACAAAGUUUUUAAAGUCUUUGAUCUAAGAGUAUGACAUUCCCCUCCUCGGAUCCCGUUUUGAUCAGGCAAUAAAUGCAAAGUGAGUAUGCUUAAGAAUUUUUGCAAAAUAAAACAACCUCAGUGAGAUAUAUAUACAAAAGAUAAUGAGUGAUCUGAGAGAACCUAUGAGGAUAAAAAGGUAUGCUAACUUUCUUUUAAAAAUAUACAAAAACUCCAAGUGACAGGAUUGAGAAGAAAGGAUCUUUACUCUUAAUCAUAUACU
rnacentral:lncRNA from 1 species